CCUACGGGAGGCAGCAGUGAGGAAUAUUGGUCAAUGGCCGCGAGCCUGAACCAGCCAAGUAGCGUGAAGGAUGACUGCCCUACGGGUUGUAAACUUCUUUUAUAAAGGAAUAAAGUGAGGCACGUGUGCCUUUUUGCAUGUACUUCAUGAAUAAGGAUCGGCUAAUUCCGUGCCAGCAGCCGCGGUAAUACGGAGGAUCCGAGCGUUAUCCGGAUUUAUUGGGUUUAAAGGGAGCGUAGAUGGGUUGUUAAGCGUGUGGUGAAAGUUUGUGGCUCAACCGUAAAAUUGCGGUGGGUACUGGAAGCCUUGAGUGCAGUGGAGGUAGGCGGAAUUCGUGGUGUAGCGGUGAAAUGCUUAGAUAUCACGAAGAACCCCGAUUGCGAAGGCAGCUUACUAAAGUGUGACUGACAUUGAUGCUCGAAAGUGUGGGUAUCGAACAGGAUUAGAUACCCGAGUAGUC
rnacentral:rRNA from 1 species